AUAUUUUUGGACGGCUAGGUAAGGGUCCUAAUAAGAACAAAGUGAUUGAGGAGUUCAGUAUUGUAGUAACUCAUAACUUACUACAAAAUGGAACACGUUUUUUUCUCACCUCCUUUAUCAAAGUGAAAAAUCCUUAAGACUGACGCCGUCCACGUGGCCUGACCUGCUCAUCCCAGAUGAUGUCAACCAGGCCCCUGUCGGACCUCAUCAAGCGAGGCUUCAGUUCAGUCAGUCCUGUCAUGACAGUCUGGGAUGUGGCCUCCUCACCUGUCCCUGAUUGGUAAUCACAGGCACACCUGUUCCUGGCUGCCAAUCAGGAUGCUAUAUAUGCCAGCUGUGUCGUCUGGACUGGGCUAGAUCAUUUUGUUUUGUGCGCCUGUGUUUUCUGUGCACCUCCCUUCUGCAUUAUUCCUUUGUGUCUUCAAGAUAAAAUAUGUUUACCUGUGCUUCGCCUGCAGUCUCUGCAUCUUGGGGUUCCAGACCGACAGACUUUAACAAGUAUCCAUCAACCAAUCAAUCAAAGUUUAUUUAUAUAGCCCUAAAUCACGAGUGUUUC